UACGUAGGGUGCGAGCGUUGUCCGGAAUUAUUGGGCGUAAAGGGCUCGUAGGCGGUUUGUCGCGUCGGGAGUGAAAACCCAGGGCUUAACCCUGGGCUGGCUUUCGAUACGGGCAGACUAGAGGUAUGCAGGGGAGAACGGAAUUCCUGGUGUAGCGGUGGAAUGCGCAGAUAUCAGGAGGAACACCGGUGGCGAAGGCGGUUCUCUGGGCAUGACCUGACGCUGAGGAGCGAAAGCAUGGGGAGCGAACAGG
rnacentral:rRNA from 1 species